CACACACCGCCCGUCACGCCAUGGGAGUGGGUUGUACCAGAAGUAGUUAGACUAACCGCAAGGGGGUCGAUUACCACGGUAUGAUUCAUGACUGGGGCG
rnacentral:rRNA from 1 species